rnacentral:rRNA from 1 species
UGGGGAAUAUUGGACAAUGGGCGCAAGCCUGAUCCAGCCAUGCCGCGUGGGUGAUGAAGGCCCUAGGGUUGUAAAGCACUUUCGGACGGAGCGCGCGGGUUAACAGCCCGCGUGGAUGACGGUACCGUAAGAAGAAGCACCGGCUAACUAC